ensembl:lncRNA
AUAUGUUAUCAAGUGUCAGGACAAGUUUAUAAUUUUAUGUACUAUGUAAACGCUGUGUAAUGUGUUUGAUGGGCGCGCGCGUUGAACAUUCGACGCGCAUUUAAACUGUGGAGGGAGUUACCAUGGAAACGGGGCGGCAACUCAGCUGACAAGUAGCAAAUCUCUCCGUCUCUCACUGUUGUUUUUACUGCUUUCAGAAAUGGUUCAGUGUCAUGGGAAUAAGUCCGUUAGCAUCACAACCGUGAGCUAACAGAGGCUAACUAUAAGAGAUGCUGUCAUGAAACGCCAUGAAAAGGCAACUGCUGGACACCUGGGACAGGCCAUCAAUUCCAAGUUGGCGUCAAUUCCCUGUUAGAGUUUAGAGUUGUCUAAUAGAGAGGGUGAAGGAAGAACAUCCAAACCCUGCCCCUGCUUCCUUCAAGAUUUUUUAUGGAUUUAUAUAAUGAUGUUUUUUCGUAAAGUAAAGAGAGUGGCAAAAUUAACAUGACCCUACUUUGAUGUUUUGUUCUACAAAUUAAACUACACACACACUCCAA